AGUGGGUGUAACGUACCUACUAGCCGACGACGGGUACGGGUUGUGAGAGCAAGAGCCCGGAGAUGGAUUCUGAGACAUGAAUCCAGGCCCUACGGGGCGCAGCAGGCGCGAAAACUUUACAAUGCGGGAAACCGCGAUAAGGGGACACUGAGUGCCAGCACCAUGUGCUGGCUGUCCGCAUGUAUAAAUCACAUGUGUCAGCAAGGGCCGGGCAAGACCGGUGCCAGCCGCCGCGGUAACACCGGCGGCCCGAGUGGUGGCCAUUAUUAUUGGGUCUAAAGGGUCCGUAGCCGGUUUGAUCAGUCUUCCGGGAAAUCUGACAGCUCAACUGUUAGGCUUCUGGGGGAUACUGUCAGACUUGGAACCGGGAGAGGUAAGAGGUACUACAGGGGUAGGAGUGAAAUCUUGUAAUCCUUGUGGGACCACCAGUGGCGAAGGCGUCUUACCAGAACGGGUUCGACGGUGAGGGACGAAAGCUGGGGGCACGAACCGGAUUAGAU
rnacentral:rRNA from 1 species